UACGAAGGGGGCUAGCGUUGUUCGGAAUUACUGGGCGUAAAGCGUGCGCAGGCGGUUCGUUGUGUCGGUGGUGAAAUCCCCGGGCUUAACCUGGGAAUGGCCAUGGAAACUGGCGAACUGGAGUGCGGCAGAGGGGGGUGGAAUUCCGCGUGUAGCAGUGAAAUGCGCAGAUAUCAGGAGGAACACCAAUUGCGAAGGCAGCUCGCUGGGACGUUACUGACGCUGAGACGCGGAAGCGUGGGGAGCAAACAGG
rnacentral:rRNA from 1 species